UACGUAGGGUGCAAGCGUUAAUCGGAAUUACUGGGCGUAAAGCGUGCGCAGGCGGUGAUGUAAGACAGGUGUGAAAUCCCCGGGCUUAACCUGGGAACUGCAUUUGUGACUGCAUCGCUGGAGUGCGGCAGAGGGGGAUGGAAUUCCGCGUGUAGCAGUGAAAUGCGUAGAUAUGCGGAGGAACACCGAUGGCGAAGGCAAUCCCCUGGGCCUGCACUGACGCUCAUGCACGAAAGCGUGGGGAGCGAAACAGG
rnacentral:rRNA from 1 species